rfam:Chelativorans sp. BNC1 plasmid 2, complete sequence.
UGUCAAGAGUCCUGGCGUCGUUUCGGCGAGCAGAUUUCUUUUGCCUGAGAGAGGGUGAAAGGAAAUG